UAGAGAAAACAAUUUCAAGUACAGAAACGAUGCAAAUUCACAGGGUCAAACACAAGUUUAAACGAGGUACAAACAAAAUACGUGGUGCAGAUGAAAAAAACGCGCUGCAAGAAACAAAGACAAAUGCAUCAUCAUCAAAUGCGCUGCAAAUAGAGAAACGAUGCAAAGCGCGAAACGAUGAAAACCAAGAAAACACCUGCAAAAGAAAAACGCUGCAUAAAGAGUCGCCACAACGGAAGUGCUCCAAACCUGCAGGGGGCGCUCAGUGUAACAGCUCAAUGGAGAGACACACCGGCUGGACAGAGAGAAAGGAUCUGCCUUUGAGAGACAGAAAACAGCUGACUGACGAUAAACUACAGCGGGGACUUAUGAUUGUUACGACUCCUGUAUGAAGACACAACUUACUGCUGGGGCCACAGAACUGUUGGCUGAUGAGACACUCAUGAUUCAUGAAAUGGGUCAAAUGCAGAUGACAAAGUAAAGCCCACACUGCACUGGAGGUGCUGAACCAGACUCCUGCCACAGAUUAGGACCUGACUUUGAACCUAUCAGACAUAAGGCCCAUUCUGCUCUUCCUCCUCCAGAAGACGAGAGAUACAUUAGACUGAGUGGCCCAAGUACAUUGGUUCAUGCCUUCACUGUCCAUGUCCACACUCACUGAGGAGGAGGUCGUCCAGACUGCAGCAGAUCUGUAGGGCCUCUGGUUGCAUCAGGCCUUCCUCCUGCUGUCUCUAAUGUGUGUUAAUAAUGAUGUGUCCUUAAAGUUUAGGUUUAACUUCUAAUUUCUUGCACAAGUAAAACAGUAAAAUGGUGGUUCCUUUUCAUCUUAGCUGAGGAGCACCUAAACAACUUCAUCACUGAGGCAGUGUACCAUGAUAAAUGUGGCCUUAUAUGAUAUUACCAAGUGUGUGAGACAAAACUGAAAACAUAUCAUUUACUCAUAAGUUUUUCUGGAUGUUUUUCGUCUAUACUGACAUUUGUUUCAUGGUGAAAUGUGCCGUUUAUUUAGUGUCUCUUUUGGUAGUAACUGAUUACAUGCACUAUAAGAAUUUACUAUUGUACUGCAGUUAUGCAGAUAAUUUGUCCAUUUUGAAUUAUCACCUGGUUCAGUAAAAAGGUAACAAUUUGAGAGUACACUGACAUACAGUUGUUUGUACAAACCUAUUAAUGCAGUGUGUGCGUAAUGGGUUUAAUGUUCGACUAUUCACAUUAUGACAAACUAUUUCCAGAAGUUCCUAUGAUUGUUUAAUAAAUCAUCUUUUCUCAAAGGAGAGAUGUCUUUUUUAAUAAACCGACGUAAAUGCAUGCCCGGUAUAAAUGUAAUCCCUUAUCAAUAGAAACAGACUUCAUAAUGCAUAUCCCAUCACAGUUUUUGAAACUUUAAGGUCAUUUAGUCUAUUUUAGAUGUAUUCCAGAAAUAAAGCCAUUUUGUUUAUGCAAAAGUUAAACAUAAGUUUUCGCUUUUAACCAUAAGAUUUGGAUGAGAAUUAUUAGAAUAACUUGAUCUCCUACAGUUUGAGUACCCAUGCGUAAUGUUUUUACCGAUUCGUGUACGUAAUUUGCGUGGUGCCUGUUGUUAGCAUUAGCGUUAGCAUCUAA